UCGACGACCCCAGCUCCGGCGGUCCCGAAUUCCAGGCGGCGCUCGUGGAAAGUCCCGACGGGAGCUACGCGUGGGGCUCUUCCCGGUGGAUUACGACGCGUCCACGAGCUACUGCGCGGCGUUUUCCAUGGAGAGCCUGCCGUCGCCGCGGUUCCUCUCCUCCAUCCGGCAGGAACGAGCGGGUGGCGUACCAGGCCGCGCGAACACGCUCGAACUUGGUGGAUCCGUUAGAAGUCUAUGCCAUACACUGCCACGGUGUUGUUGUGGUCGGCGUGAAGUGGUGGCGGCAUGAGCGGUGAGUGAACUCCACCACGUCGUGAGCGGGUUCCCGUGGCUUGCGGCUUGCUGCUUGGCCUCGUCCGCCAGCGGC